rnacentral:lncRNA from 1 species
CUCGGACCUGGCUGCUGUGCUCUAAAGGCUGACGUUAAUUUCGCUCUUCGUUAGCGUGGAACUCGAGAUGAAGACGAAGGCAGAGUGGAAAAUCACCACCAAAUAUCGAACUUGCAUUUUGCUGGAGUCACUUUACGGGAAACGGUCAAGGCUGCGAGUCCGUGCAAGAGUACAGCCCCAGGCCUGUGCUGAAUUCGUUACCGGCCUGACAAGUGCUUAUGUUAGCGUGAUUAAUACGGGCACCCGCGUGCCUGUUGUCACAAGGCAGGGGACGCGGGAGGGGCAGGAAGGGCGCCGCGCUGUCCGGCCGAUUUCUUCGUCCCGGGUCACUCGGUGUAAGCGGCGCGUACGAUCCGCGCUUUCGAGAGGUCGCACCGCAAAUGGCCCCCGCUGCACAGACAGUGAGUCACGGCGAGCAUCGCACCCCAUCAGUACGCUGGACACGUCGCGUUACCGUCAGCCCCUCGCAGAUUACAAACACGUGCGGCGCGGCGGAACCGCCGUUCCCAUUUCUGGCAGCGGAUGUAAUUUCCGUGCCGUUUCAUCUGGCCUUGUUGUUAAAGCGGGUGAGCGAAGCUCUAAAGAAGGGCGUCGUAAACAGGUGCCCCUGAUUUUUGAAGCGACGCAGUCUCCGUGCCUCCCUCCGCCGCUGUCGAACCCACACGCAGGGCUAAGUGAGAAAACAGAUGCUGGGGAGAGGCCACGGUCAUGGCUGUUAGGAGGCUGCCUCAAGCGAACGUGGCUGCUCAGUUGGCCGCUCCACAGUGACCCGAGCCCAUGGGACCCUUGCAUUGGCGCAGCCCGUGGCCUCAGCUGCUCUGGGCAAGAACAAGGGCUUCCAGUGGUGGACAAAAACCAUGCUGUUAGUGGUUUGGGGGUUGGUUUCAGGCUGGGUCAAGGAUGAGGCAUGCAAACACCAGCUCCGCUCUUGCCCGUCGUUUUCCCACGUCCGGGUGGAACUGGGACGGCCUCGUCGCCGCGACGAAAAUCCACGGUCCGUCGCAUCUCGUCCGAAUUCCCAAACCGAGGUGCGCGGGGUGAGGCUUUUGCGUUGCGAAAGGUUGUAAGUGAAACGUUCCACUUUUUCUGGAACACGAACAUCUGUUUUCGCUGCUGUGCGUGUGUUUCCAUGUGAGGCUCACGCACUUCCCCGGCCA